rnacentral:tRNA from 1 species
UCCCGCGUCGCUUAGCAGCAAUAGCGGAUGGUUUACACCCAUCUUUUCGUCGGUUCGAGUCCGACCGCGGGAA